CAUCGAAUUCAAAGGUCCCCAGCAUGUAAACCUUCAUCUCAAGGUUGCGAAAACCGAACCGGUCAUUGAACCGGUCAAGUAACUGGUUUAAUGGUUUAAUGGUUCAACCGGGGUCGAACCGUGGUUAGACCGGUUUAAUUAAAUAUACAAUAAAAUUAUUA